rnacentral:rRNA from 1 species
GGGGAAUUUUGGACAAUGGGCGCAAGCCUGAUCCAGCCAUUCCGCGUGAGUGAAGAAGGCCUUCGGGUUGUAAAGCUCUUUCGCAAGGGAAGAAAACUUGCCUUUUAAUAGAGGGUGAGGAUGACGGUACCUUGAUAAGAAGCACCGGCUAACUACGUGCCAGCAGCCGCGGUAAUACGUAGGGUGCGAGCGUUAAUCGGAAUUACUGGGCGUAAAGCGUGCGCAGGCGGUUUUGCAAGUCAGAUGUGAAAGCCCCGGGCUCAACCUGGGAACUGCGUUUGAAACUGCAAGGCUAGAGUACGGGAGAGGGAGGUAGAAUUCCACGUGUAGCAGUGAAAUGCGUAGAGAUGUGGAGGAAUACCAAUGGCGAAGGCAGCCUCCUGGCCUGAUACUGACGCUCAUGCACGAAAGCGUGGGGAGCAAAC